rnacentral:rRNA from 1 species
CUACGGGAGGCAGCAGUGGGGAAUAUUGGACAAUGGGGGAAACCCUGAUCCAGCAAUGCCGCGUGUGUGAAGAAGGCCUGCGGGUUGUAAAGCACUUUCGGUUGGGAGGACUGCUUCUAGCACUAAUAUUGUUGGAAGUUGACGUUACCUUCAGAAGAAGCACCGGCUAACUCCGUGCCAGCAGCCGCGGUAAUACGGAGGGUGCAAGCGUUAAGCGGAAUUACUGGGCGUAAAGCGCGCGUAGGCGGCUAGAUCAGUCGGGUGUGAAAGCCCCGGGCUUAACCUGGGAACUGCACCCGAUACUGUCUAGCUUGAGUACAGGAGAGGAGAGUGGAAUUCCACAUGUAGCGGUGAAAUGCGUAGAUAUGUGGAGGAACACCAAUGGCGAAGGCAGCUCUCUGGCCUGAUACUGACGCUGAGGUACGAAAGCGUGGGGAGCAAACAGGACUAGAUACCCCUGUAGUC